GAUGAACGCUGGCGGCGUGCUUAACACAUGCAAGUCGAACGGAAAGGCUCCUGCUUGCAGGGGUACUCGAGUGGCGAACGGGUGAGUAACACGUGGGUGAUCUGCCCUGCACUUCGGGAUAAGCCUGGGAAACUGGGUCUAAUACCGGAUAGGACGAUGGUUUGGAUGCCAUUGUGGAAAGUUUUUCGGUGUGGGAUGAGCUCGCGGCCUAUCAGCUUGUUGGCGGGGUAAUGGCCUACCAAGGCGUCGACGGGUAGCCGGCCUGAGAGGGUGUACGGCCACAUUGGGACUGAGAUACGGCCCAGACUCCUACGGGAGGCAGCAGUGGGGAAUAUUGCACAAUGGGCGCAAGCCUGAUGCAGCGACGCCGCGUGGGGGAUGACGGCCUUCGGGUUGUAAACUCCUUUCGCUAGGGACGAAGCGCAAGUGACGGUACCUGGAGAAGAAGCACCGGCUAACUACGUG
rnacentral:rRNA from 1 species